GAUACCCCUGUAGUCCUGGCCGUAAACGAUGAACACUAGGUGUCGGGGGAAUCGACCCCCUCGGUGUCGUAGCCAACGCGUUAAGUGUUCCGCCUGGGGAGUACGCACGCAAGUGUGAAACUCAAAGGAAUUGACGGGGGCCCGCACAAGCGGUGGAGUAUGUGGUUUAAUUCGAUGCAACGCGAAGAACCUUACCAGGGUUUGACAUCCUGCGAAUCCCUUGGAAACGAGGGAGUGCCUUCGGGAGCGCAGAGACAGGUGGUGCAUGGCUGUCGUCAGCUCGUGUCGUGAGAUGUUGGGUUAAGUCCCGCAACGAGCGCAACCCACGUCGUUAGUUGCCAGCAUUCAGUUGGGCACUCUAGCGAGACCGCCGGUGAUAAACCGGAGGAAGGUGUGGAUGACGUCAAGUCAUCAUGCCCCUUACAUCCUGGGCUACACACGUACUACAAUGCUACGGACAAAGGGCAGCGAACUCGCGAGGGUAAGCAAAUCCCAUAAACCGUGGCUCAGUUCAGAUCGUAGGCUGCAACUCGCCUACGUGAAGGAGGAAUCGCUAGUAAUCGCAGGUCAGCAUACUGCGGUGAAUACGUUCCCGGGCCUUGUACACACCGCCCGUCACACCAUGGAAGUUGGCCAUGCCCGAAGUCGUUACUCCAACCCUUGUGGAGGAGGACGCCGAAGGUGGGGCUGAUGACUGGGGUGAAGUCGUAACAAGGUAGCUGUACCGGAAGGUGC
rnacentral:rRNA from 1 species